GGGUAAAAUGACACAAAAAGGUAAGGAUAGUAUUAGACUAGUGACAGUUGCAGAAGAGGAAUCAGUCAGGAACUAUUAACAGUUUAAUUGAUACGCUUUUAUGAAGAAGUGGGUUUUUAACUAUUUUUUGAAGGAGUGGAGACUGGGUGAGCAUCUAACGGAGGAGGGAAAUGAGUUCCACAGGAACGAUGCAGCCCUCGAGAAAUCUUGAAGGCGAGCAUCAGAGGUAAGAGUACGGACAGAAGAUAG